UUGAGUGCAUAACUUUUGUUUCUGCCUAAUUAAUAAAAGAGAAAAACAAACUGGUGUAUAAAACACUACGUACAUUAAUUCCAUUGUAUAAAUCGAUUCAUCGAACCUGCCGAAACAUUUUUUCCCUGUCAACCCCAUCCGUACAUACCCCAGCCCAUUUACAUACAUACAGUCAACCCUGCUGAUGACUAAUUUUGUCUAAAUUUACAUAAUGAGGAAACCAUUGUAA